rnacentral:rRNA from 1 species
UACGAGGGGGCAAGCGUUGUUCGGAAUUAUUGGGCGUAAGGGUGCGUGAGGCGGUCUGACAAGUCUGAUGUGAAAUCGUAUGGGCUCAACCCAUGAGUCUGCAUCGGAAACUGGUCGGGCUUGAGUAAUGGGAGAGGUGAGUGGAAUUUCCGGUGUAGCGGUGAAAUGCGUAGAUAUCGGAAGGAACACCUGUGGCGAAAGCGGCUCACUGGACCAUUACGU